GACGAACGCUGGCGGCGUGCUUAACACAUGCAAGUCGAACGGAAAGGCCCUGCUUUUGUGGGGUGCUCGAGUGGCGAACGGGUGAGUAACACGUGAGUAACCUGCCCUUGACUUUGGGAUAACUUCAGGAAACUGGGGCUAAUACCGGAUAGGAGCUCCUGCUGCACGGUGGGGGUUGGAAAGUUUCGGCGGUUGGGGAUGGACUCGCGGCUUAUCAGCUUGUUGGUGGGGUAGUGGCUUACCAAGGCUUUGACGGGUAGCCGGCCUGAGAGGGUGACCGGCCACAUUGGGACUGAGAUACGGCCCAGACUCCUACGGGAGGCAGCAGUGGGGAAUAUUGCACAAUGGGCGGAAGCCUGAUGCAGCAACGCCGCGUGCGGGAUGACGGCCUUCGGGUUGUAAACCGCUUUCGCCUGUGACGAAGCGUGAGUGACGGUAAUGGGUAAAGAAGCACCGGCUAACUACGUGCCAGCAGCCGCGGUGAUACGUAGGGUGCGAGCGUUGUCCGGAUUUAUUGGGCGUAAAGGGCUCGUAGGUGGUUGAUCGCGUCGGAAGUGUAAUCUUGGGGCUUAACCCUGAGCGUGCUUUCGAUACGGGUUGACUUGAGGAAGGUAGGGGAGAAUGGAAUUCCUGGUGGAGCGGUGGAAUGCGCAGAUAUCAGGAGGAACACCAGUGGCGAAGGCGGUUCUCUGGGCCUUUCCUGACGCUGAGGAGCGAAAGCGUGGGGAGCGAACAGGCUUAGAUACCCUGGUAGUCCACGCUGUAAACGGUGGGUACUAGGUGUGGGGUCCAUUCCACGGGUUCCGUGCCGUAGCUAACGCUUUAAGUACCCCGCCUGGGGAGUACGGCCGCAAGGCUAAAACUCAAAGGAAUUGACGGGGCCCCGCACAAGCGGCGGAGCAUGCGGAUUAAUUCGAUGCAACGCGUAGAACCUUACCUGGGUUUGACAUGGAUCGGGAGUGCUCAGAGAUGGGUGUGCCUCUUUUGGGGUCGGUUCACAGGUGGUGCAUGCCUGUCGUCAGCUCGUGUCGUGAGAUGUUGGGUUAAGUCCCGCAACGAGCGCAACCCUUGUUCACUGUUGCCAGCACGUUAUGGUGGGGACUCAGUGGAGACCGCCGGGGUCAACUCGGAGGAAGGUGGGGAUGACGUCAAGUCAUCAUGCCCCUUAUGUCCAGGGCUUCACGCAUGCUACAAUGGCUGGUACAGAGAGUGGCGAGCCUGUGAGGGUGAGCGAAUCUCGGAAAGCCGGUCUCAGUUCGGAUUGGGGUCUGCAACUCGACCUCAUGAAGUCGGAGUCGCUAGCAAUCGCAGAUCAGCAACGCUGCGGUGAAUACGUUCCCGGG
rnacentral:rRNA from 1 species